rnacentral:rRNA from 1 species
CCUCCUGGGAAGUCCUCGUGCUGCACCCCU